CGUCUAGUCCGGUCCAGGACGUCGCCCUCUCACGGCGAAAACAUGGGUUCGAAUCCCGUA
rnacentral:tRNA from 1 species